GUAUACUUUUAUUUGAUUAGGAACGUUCCAUUUUGAAUUUUUCUCGGAGUUCAUAUUUUUGUGAUUUUACUUUUCACUUAUCAUACAUUUGAAGGAAGUUCUAUUUUAUUCUAUUUAAUAAAAGCAAAAUACAGUGUUUGGACUUUGCAGCUAGGAAGAAUAACACUAACUUAUUGUGAGCUGAACGAAAACAUGUUUUGUCUUUUAUUUGUACAUACGUUACAAGGAUCUAUUUCUUUUUUAAAAUCAAGUAAUUUAUUCUGAGAAGAC
rnacentral:lncRNA from 1 species